AGCAGCAUGGCGCAGCCGGAAGCGCGCGGGGGUCCACAUAUCGCCUCGUGGCUGACAUAUUGACAACCGCGAUCACUCGUUCGACUCGAGUUGCUGCUA